ensembl:lncRNA
UGGGAGGGGGGGAAGGGCGGACGGAGCGGGGGGCCGGCCCCCGGGCCGCCCUGCUCAGCGCCGCCCGCGGUCUCCCGCAGGCAUCGGGGUCUGGGGGCUUCUGGCGCGGGAACUGACUCCCGCACUGUGCUGCCCUGCGCUGCGCUCCGCUCCGCGCUCCCCUAUUGAUCUGCUCCCCGGCGGCGGCGGCGGCAGCAGCGGCUCAGAGCCAGGUCAGGUCCUAACAGAUUGGCGGAGAUUACCGGGGCUCCCGGCGCUGAUUGACAUUUCUACUUUGCCGCAAGCCCCUCCUCUCCAGCUCUCCUUUCCCCCCUCAGUUCUCUACUCUGUCUCCUCUCCUCUCUCAAUAUCUCCGAUUUCUCUUUUCCCAGGCUCCUCUCUCCUCUCUCUUCUUCUUCCCCCUCCUUUUCCUUACUUCCACUGCACCCUCUUUUUUCUUUUUUCUGUGUAUUCUACCCCAUCAAUCUCUCUCUCUCUCUCUCUCUCUCUCUCUCUCUCUCUCUCUCUCUCCCUCCCCCUCUCUCCCCCUUUGCUACUGCUCUUUGGCUGAUACUCCCCACCUCUCUGCUCGGGGUUUGUGGUCACUAAGGGUGUUGUGUAUAUGCAGUGUGUAUGUGUGUGUCCCUCACUCUUCCCCCUCCCUCUCCCUUCCCCAAAUCUCUGGCCUGACGUCUCGCUCGCUUAUUCGACUUUCUCUCCUGUCUCCUUUCGGAGAUCUCCAAUCCCGGGUGCGCGUUACAGUAGGGAGCCUAGGCCCCGGAGGCGAUUGGCGCUUGGGAGGAGAGAGGCCUUCAGGCUGUGGUGUCCUGGGAAGCUCUUCUGAAUACCUGGUCCAAGAGGCUGGAGCAAAGGUGUGGGGUGUGAAUGCCGGACCUUUUUGUGGGCCGACGAAGAGUUUUAGAAUAACAUCUGUGGAAGUUCUAAAAGCUCCAGUUCCUUCGUGGUGUCCGUCUGUUUGACCGAUCCUGGUUCCCGUUUGCCCGCGGCCCCAGCCACUAGUGACAAAGACCUCAGCUCCAGGAUAAGGAAUUUGGCAAAGGGUAGAGGGUGGUACCCCGCAUACAGAGAGUGUGGCACUUUCUGUCUGUCCCUCUGACCGUCUCUCUCUGUCUCUCAACCUAUGGCUCUUCUGGUCCCUGUACAUUUUCAAUGGUCUGAUUGUUAAGAAAACAGAAAUUCGGGGGAAUCAUCAGAACAAAAGCAAUGACCAGGAAGAAAGAAGAGGGUUAGGUAGAGGCGGUGGAGUGAGGUGGGUCUGGAGACUCAGGCUUUGGUCCUUGGGUCAGGCUAUUUCCGGCCCCUGAGCCACCUCGAAUGUAGAGUUGUCUUCUUGAUGAUCGAGCACACACUGCUACAGCACCCCGGUGCCCGAUUUCGUUUCCGGCUAAACUUCCAACAGUGCGACAGGAAGCACGGCCUGGAAGAGGAAGAAGCACUGGACGAAGAGGACCGAGCACUGUGAGACCUGUCCCCAAUAUCACCUUCUCCAGAUCAAAUGCUUUCCUCAAUAACUGCCACAUCAAAACAGGAGCCUCAAUUGUGUUAAAUUACCAUAUUUCAACAAAAACAAGGGCCUCGCUCCCUUGGUCACCUCAGGGUGAGUUUCGGGGACUAAGAGCUUGAACCGUGCACUAGGAGCCUGAAUUACGCACCUUGACAUUCAAUUCCAUAUUGUGAGGAGGGGAAAAAAGAAUACAACUCUGA